rnacentral:lncRNA from 1 species
AUGUUAAGACCUUUCCUAAAUCACUUUUAUAGCGAUGACUUUGGGAAUGUAAUGUUGUUUAAUAAAUAGUUAAACGACGAACGUAAAGUAUAAGAACGUAAACAUGAAUGAUAUACAAUAAGUGUACUUAACCAAUGACGAUCAAAUCUCAAAUAAUAACAUAGGAGCAGUAGUAAUCCUUAAGGAAGGAUAAUUAACUCAAAAAGAGUUGUAUUAAUGAAGUAAAUCCACUUAAGGCAUAGAAGAGAAAGAAUUUGGUAAGAACAAUAUAAAAUAUAAUGGCAAGCCGAAACUAAUAAUAAUAAAUCUAAUAUAUAAUUAGAUUGAGAAG